rnacentral:rRNA from 1 species
UACAGAGGGGGCAAGCGUUGUUCGGAAUUACUGGGCGUAAAGGGCGCGUAGGCGGCCUUCUAAGUCGAACGUGAAAUCCCCGGGCUCAACCCGGGAACUGCGUCCGAUACUGGAAGGCUUGAAUCCGGGAGAGGGAUGUGGAAUUCCAGGUGUAGCGGUGAAAUGCGUAGAUAUCUGGAGGAACACCGGUGGCGAAGGCGGCAUCCUGGACCGGCAUUGACGCUGAGGCGCGAAAGCCAGGGGAGCAAAGCGGG